rnacentral:rRNA from 1 species
GACGAACCGUGCAAACGUUGUUCGGAAUCACUGGGCUUAAAGGGCGCGUAGGCGGGCUCGCAAGUCAGGGGUGAAAGCCUCCAGCUCAACUGGAGAAGUGCCUUUGAUACUGCGGGUCUCGAGGGAGGUAGGGGCGUGCGGAACUUCCGGUGGAGCGGUGAAAUGCGUAGAUAUCGGAAGGAACACCGGUGGCGAAAGCGGCGCGCUGGACCUCUUCUGACGCUGAGGCGCGAAAGCCAGGGGAGCAAACGGG